rnacentral:rRNA from 1 species
AUGGAGUGCGUCGGGCCCAACCUGCACGACGUCCUCCACGAGCACCGCCGCGGCCGGCCGUUCCCCAAGGCCGACGUGCGCUGCAUCAUGGAGCAGCUCCUCGGCGCCGCCAAGCACAUGCACGGGCUGCGCAUCAUCCACCGCGACAUCAAGCCGGGGAACAUCCUCGUCGGCGCAGACGGCAUCAGCAGCGUCAAGAUCUGCGACCUAGGGCUCGCGGUGUCCAUGUCCGAGCCCGCGCCGUACGGCCAGCACGGCACACGCCGAUACAUGGCGCCGGAGAUGCUCCUCGGCAAGACCGACUACGACGCCACGGUUGAUAUGUGGUCCCUCGGCUGCGUCAUGGCCGAGCUCCUCUCCGGGAAGCCGCUCUUCGACGGGGACGACGACGCCCAACAGCUCCUCGCCAUCUUCCGCGUUCUCGGUGUGCCAUUGUUCACCACCUGGCCAGACUACGAGUCAUUGCCGCUCGCCGGGAAGCUGGUGACGCCGCCGCAUGUCAUUUCCCGCAACAAGCUCCGUGAGCACUUCCCAGAGGACCUCCUCUCCAAAGAAGGCUUCGAAGUCCUCAAGGGGCUCCUCUCGUGCAACGUCGACAAGAGGUUGUCGGCCACCACCGCGCUCAGGCGACCAUGGUUCGCCAACGUUACCAAUGAUUUGUAUUGCGUUGAUCACAAAUGUGCAUGA